rnacentral:tRNA from 1 species
UGGAGAGUUUGAUCUUGGCAGCUCGUUGGGCUCAUAACCCAAAGGUCGUAGGUUCAAAUCCUACCCCCGCAA